AGUGAACGCUGGCGGUAGGCCUAACACAUGCAAGUCGAACGGCAGCACAGGAGAGCUUGCUCUCUGGGUGGCGAGUGGCGGACGGGUGAGGAAUACAUCGGAAUCUACUCUGUCGUGGGGGAUAACGUAGGGAAACUUACGCUAAUACCGCAUACGACCUACGGGUGAAAGCAGGGGAUCUUCGGACCUUGCGCGAUGUAAUGAGCCGAUGUCGGAUUAGCUAGUUGGCGGGGUAAAGGCCCACCAAGGCGACGAUCCGUAGCUGGUCUGAGAGGAUGAUCAGCCACACUGGAACUGAGACACGGUCCAGACUCCUACGGGAGGCAGCAGUGGGGAAUAUUGGACAAUGGGCGCAAGCCUGAUCCAGCCAUACCGCGUGGGUGAAGAAGGCCUUCGGGUUGUAAAGCCCUUUUGUUGGGAAAGAAAUCCAGCUGGCUAAUACCCGGUUGGGAUGACGGUACCCAAAGAAUAAGCACCGGCUAACUUCGUGCCAGCAGCCGCCGUAA
rnacentral:rRNA from 1 species